CCAACGUGGAUACCCCGGGAGGUCACUCUGCCCGGGCUCUGUCCUGGUGGCGUAGGGGAGCAUAGGGCUCUGCCCCAUGAUGUACAGUCCCUUUCCACAACGUUGGAGAUGAAGCCGGGCCUUGAGUCUGCGCCUGCAUAUUCCUACAGCUUCUCAGAGUCCUGUGGACAAUGACUGAGGAGACAAACCAUGCAGGAAACAGCU
rnacentral:snoRNA from 1 species